AGAACAUAUUGUCCUCUUUUUAGUGUGCUUGCAGCUACGUGCAGAAGUGCUUGUGGUUUUGUGUAUAUGUGUGUAUAUGUCAGAAAUAUGAGGCCAUGGUCUGGUUUCAGUCUUGCAGGUGUUAGAAAUAUGAGACCAUGGUCUGGUUUCAUUUCGCAGCUUCACCCACGCUGGAAAAUUCCACUAUGCUCAGAUAUGAAAUAUGCUGAUUCAUGUUAAGACAAAAUGCUGUAUGACUAGCCCAUAUUUGGAGUGCCUUUCUGCUAUCAGCCCCUGUGUAUAAAUAUCCCUGUCCAUCCUGUGUUGUCAGGCUUGCAGAAUAAACCAUUCUAACUACAGUUUGGUCUCUUCUCAUGUCUCCAGGUCGACCUGCUGAACUUUGCUGAAUCUGGUGCCUAAUAUAGGGGAAAUCUUGCAGACUUGGGGGCUUCGUCCGGGAUACAUCUGAUCAGGUAAGAGAAUUUUUAUUCACACUGCCUGCUCCGGUGUAUCUCAGGAAAUCGUAAGAUUUUAAUUAAAAAUUGGGUUGCGCAAGCAAGAGAGGUCUGUGUUCUAGAGCACAGAACAUCCUGUCAAGUUUACUUUCCACAGUAAAUUGCACAGAAGGAUUUGUGUCGUCGUACCCGAUUAAAUUUGGGUUCCACAAAUCAGGGAAAUUUAUUAAUUUGACACUUGAUAGCCUGUCAAGUUUACUUCAAACAGUAAAUUGCACAGAAGGAUUUGUGUUGUUGUACCCGAUUAAAUUUGGGUUCCACAAAUCAGGGGUUUAAUAAAUUUUAGUAAAUAAGUAUUACGCACCAGCUUCAGCAAUAUGGGACAAGGAUAUCCAAAACCAGAACCCAGUGAGAGUCCAAAGCAAUGGAUGGAUAGAUGUGGGUGGGGAUUUUACACUGAACCCUGGCUGUCCAAUUUAGCUGGGUGGACAGAGGGACAAUCUCAAUGGAGAGACUUUCCUAGGGAAGGAACAUUUGACCCAGGUUUCCUUCAGUUAGCUUACAAAUUGAUAUGGGGAUCCAGAAUGGGAUGAUCAGUAUAUGAUGAAUGGAUAUGACACAUGGUGUACAAUGAGCUCUAUAUGGAGAGAUAAAAAGGGCAUUUUCACACCUAAAACCGUUUUGAAAUCUGUCCCCAAACCCAAAAGCAGAAGCAAUACUGCCCGUGAGGCAGAUAAGAGGGGUUCUCUCGCAGCUGCUAAGACAACUAUGACGUCACCACCCCCUUAUACGGGGCCUCAGCCUGCAGUUUCAUGCUCUGCUGCUAGCGCUCCCCCUAUAAUAUCUUCUGUUUAUCCGUCCCUGACAGAAAUGAUUAAAACUAAACCAGACUCCCCUCCGACAGCACGGAGGGCACUACUUCAGCUUCUAAUGUGGCUGCCGUGUGGGUUGCUAAACCACGAGGGAUAGAGAUAAUUCCGCCUUCACCCUCUGUUCUUAAAGAUCUCAUAUCUCUUUUACCAGAAGUGGACAAACCACUGCAAUUUGUAGACAUGCUGUUGCGCAGUUCGCGUCACUGCCAACUAAUUGGGGCAGGUUAUCGAUUUAUCCUUCAAAUCAAAAUGGGUUUGUCCUAUGACGAUGACGAAAUAAUAGAAAAAAUACCUGCUCUUGAUCCCAAGCUUGAUAUAGUACAAACAGAAACUGUUAAGGAAGAAACAGAUGAUAAAAAGACACGUACUCGUAUAAAAACACGCCUCGCGUGGAAAGAUGAUCAGGAGGAGCUCCUGACACAUCUAAAACAGCAGCUUACUAAAUACUUAGUACCAUACUUACUGGUCUGAAUGUGACGCCACGACUGAUCCUAAUGGAAUAAUGCUAGAUGGCAAAGGCCGUUUAUGCCUGCCAUCAUCCUGUGCACCUUUUCUCGUCCGCGAGUUUCACGGUGUUACACACCGCGGCCGAAGAGGGGUAAUAGACACAAUGAGUUCCUUUUUAUGCAUUAAUAAUUUACAACAUCAUGUUAAUAACACGCUAGAUAGAUGUCUGAUAUGUGCUCAAAAUAAUAUCACUAAACCUCAAGCUAAACAUCAACAAUUGCCCCUUCCUGAAACACCUUUUCAGGAAUGGCAGGUAGAUUUCACACAUCUGCCAAAGAGGGGUCCCAAUAAAUAUUUACUGGUUUUUGUGGACAAAUUUUCAAAAUGGGUUGAAGCCUUCCCAUGCAGUAAAGAAGAUGCUAAUAUAGUUGUCAGAUGUUUGACAAGAGAAAUCAUUCCAAGAUACGGUAUACCAUGUGCCAUAGACUCAGAUAAGGGAACCUCAUUUACUGCGAAAGUAAUACAAAAUCUAGCUAAAGAACUCCAAAUUAAUUGGCAGCUACAUAUUCCCUGUCAUCCACAAUCAUCUGGCAUAAUAGAACGAACUAAUAGGACUAUUAAGGACAAAUUAAGAAAGGCUAUGUAACAUGCAGGGCACUCAAAUUGGCUCGCCUUGCUACCUCUCGUUUUAGCAGACAUGAGGAUGUCUCCUCACAAAAGUCUUCACAGUCUCUCUCCUUAUGAGACUGUGAUGGGACGACCCUUUCCCUCACCAUGGAGGCAAAGGGGUACCACACUGGGUGACGGUUCUUUGGAUAUUCAUAUGAGUGAAUGUGCACAACAGCUACUAACAACAUUGCAUGCAUACUGGACUAACAUACAUUCUGGUUCAGCCCCGAUGCCGGUAGACCCAACACACCCAUUUAAGGUUGGUGACAAAGUAAUGAUUAGACAGUUCAAUAAAAUGAGCACAGAACUGGGGGACCCCAAAUUUGGCCCCCCGACGGAUGUCGUGGCUGUAACCAGAACCGCCGUUUUAACCUCCUCUUCUCCACAGUGGAUCCAUGCAACCAGGAUAAAACGAGCACCUAUUGAAUAAUAAAAAUGUAUAAGUUUUGUACUAUGAUAAUCUGUCUGCAGACUCUCUUUGUUUUACAGAUACUUCGGGGGCCCCCACAUCAGCUAGCACCUCCACGCAGCAUAACUACUAAAAGGAUCAGCAUGAAGUGGCUAUGGACAUUGGGACUGUUUCUCUUUCUUGUUGCUCAAGCUAAUGCAGCCAGGCUGAAACGCUGGACACAUGAUCAUGAAUUUGGAUGGGCAGAGGAUGGGGCUGACAAUCCUAUUGAAAUAAUAUGUGGUAUCAAUAUGUGAAUGUUUUAGCUAGGUCAUAAAAUGUAUCUGGUUGUUAUGUAUGUUCUGUUAUGCCUCAUUCAGCCAAACAAACCCCUCUUUAUGCCAAACCCAUGAAUAAGACCUCUGCUAAAUGUUUUGCCAGUUUUGCAGGAUCAGGGUACCAGGACCCAUAUAUAAUUGUCGAUGACUACGAUCCAUACCGGAUUGGCAUUAGAAAUGGUACAUGUGAUGCUCUAUUUUGGGUAAAAUUUGGCCACGCUAAACCCUCACCUAUUAGCCACAAGGUUUUUUAUUAACCACUCUAUUACACACCCUGUGUGUUAUAACCAGACCAUGGGCUCUCAUUUCAUGGGAAGCACUGUUAACUGUCAACAAAUUGCCUCCUCGGGAGAGGGGGCCCCAGUCGACAUCUCAGGACCCUCAAACGGCACUUAUGUGGUCCAGGGUGGGUGGUGGUUGUGUGGGAAAAACGCCUACAUGUCCCUACCGGCCAACUGGACGGGGCAGUGUGCCCCUGUGCAUGUGACUGAUCACACUUUUAUUGUGACAGCCCAGGUCCUGUCAGCGCAGCAAAGAGUUAAACGCAGUGUCCCUGAAAUGAAGCCCCAUGACUCUGCAUGGGGUACUGACGUGCCCGAGGAUUUCAAAUUAUGGACCACUGGUAACAAAAUGGUAUUGGCUCUAUUUCCGCAAAUAGGUGUGGGAAAAGCUCUACUAAGAAUCGAGACCCUGGACUAUCGCAUGGGCCUAUUUCUGAAUGCCUCAAAAAAAAUAAUUAAUGAGGCCCAGAAUAAGGAGCUGGGUAAUCUCCGUACCAUGGUUUUGCAAAAUAGAAUGGCUCUAGAUCUCUUAACAGCAUCCCAGGGGGAGGUAUGUAAAUGAGUACUGCUAUGUCUACUCUCCAAGGGUUAAAAACUGCCAUGACUUCAGAUUAUGUUCCCGACACAACUUGGGGUUGGAUGAUGGGUCUGUUCGGCUGGGUGACUCCUUUUCUCACUAUGAUGAUUCCUGUAUGUAUUAUUCUUUUGUUGAUUUGUUGCUGUGGCCCUUUUCUCUUACAAUGUUUGAUGAAUCGUGUUUAUGCUACAAUGGACAGUAUGAUGGGUCAACGAUAUGAUAGAUUCCUCUGCGUUAGGCCUUUGGCCUAAAAGAGGGGACUGAGAGAACAUAUUGUCCUCUUUUUAGUGUGCUUGCAGCUACGUGCAGAAGUGCUUGUGGUUUUGUGUAUAUGUGUGUAUAUGUCAGAAAUAUGAGGCCAUGGUCUGGUUUCAGUCUUGCAGGUGUUAGAAAUAUGAGACCAUGGUCUGGUUUCAUUUCGCAGCUUCACCCACGCUGGAAAAUUCCACUAUGCUCAGAUAUGAAAUAUGCUGAUUCAUGUUAAGACAAAAUGCUGUAUGACUAGCCCAUAUUUGGAGUGCCUUUCUGCUAUCAGCCCCUGUGUAUAAAUAUCCCUGUCCAUCCUGUGUUGUCAGGCUUGCAGAAUAAACCAUUCUAACUACA